GAGAUGUCUAAGGCAGAGAGCACGUCGUCAACCUUACUGAUGAGUCCAGGCGUGCUCUCAGGACGAAACAUCUU
rnacentral:hammerhead_ribozyme from 1 species